AAAAAAAAAAAAAAUCUCCAUUCAAAGGCACAGAAGAAAUGUGAAUGAAAGCAGCAUUUGCAUCUUUCUGCAUAAGGUACAGGCAGUCAAAGAUCUGCAUGCUCUAGGCAGCACAAGCAUUGAUUUCUAGUGCCUCAAUGUGAAUUUCACAUAUUCACAACAAAGAUAAUUUCUUUGAUUUACAUGCAAGGAAAGAGAAGAAUCCAAUCUCAUUUGAGCACUGAUAGAGAUCAGGCUCCAGCAUCUGAAUACAACAGAUGCUACACUCUUGUGGCAUGGUGUGAAAGUCACAGAAGGGGUUAUAAUUAGACCUGCUCAAGCUUUUGGGCCAUGUAAUACCCAGCAGGGCAGCAGUGUCAGGUUUACUCAGAUGAUAGCAAAGCUGAAUGAAGAGGGAGACUGAAUUACUCAGAAUGAAAAGCCAUAUUGGCAUCAGUGCUGGCAAUAUGGCUCUGAACAUUUGAGAACAUAAAGCUUAAACAGUCUGGCAAAGAACUUGGGUAUUGCAAUUCCUGGCCCUUUCUCUCUGCUGGACUAUGUUACUCAUCUUGUGUUCCCUCUUGGCUCUUAUCUGUCUGUUGUUGCUUAUGCUUUAAAUAGAAUUAAAUAAGUCACUACUGUUAACCAAAUAUGUUGAUAGCCAGUGUUUUCCAGAAAUCAUCUCUUUCUUUGAAUAGAGCCUGUCUUACUAGACACCCUUCAGAGGGCUCAGCCUCUUCUGCAUAGAUCUUUAUCCCAGAAUUUUGGGGAUAUAAAUCUGCAGUUAUGUGCAUCUUACUAAUGACAUUUCUCCAUUGAGAAAAAGUUGUGUUUGCCUGAGUUAAAGCUUUUUAUUAGUCUGACCUUAACUCCCCUGUUUCCAGUACCAAGUGCAACUUUCCUCUGAAAAGCCAAAGGCAACAUUUCCAUGGAGCAUAUGGAGAAAAUCCUGCAUCGAUCUCCUUUAGCUUGUUUGCCUCUGAAGUGCACACAAGGAAACAUGUCAGGAAUUAAGUCAAAACAGGUAAUGUACAGUGGAAACCUCCUCUCAUAAAUUAGCUUUGAUUCCUCAAAAGAAGGAAAGCCAUGUGUGAUUGGUUUUACCACAUCCACUGUUGUCUUCUUGGUUUUUAGGAUGUUGUGAGGAGUACAGAAAGCAAACACUCAGGCAGCACAAAGGUCAGGGUGUCAGUUUGGAUAGGUGGGAGGAAUUGGAUUGUGUUGGAAGUAUUUUGUGUUUUUUGGGGGAAAAUACAACUUUCAGUCCAGAAAGCAGGUUUCUCUGUAGCUAAGUUGGGCCCUUGUUCCUGAAGUAGAAUACUGAAGACGUAAAUGAGGGUUGGUUUCUUCAUUCAUUUAUUAAACAAGCAAUAAAUAACACUUUAUCUACUUCACAACGUGACCAGUCCCAUUUCCACACACUUCUGAUUUGAUCUGUGUUAACAGAACAUGAGCUUCCAGACAAGCAAGCACAGAGUGUCUGCCUUGCUGGAUUCCUUCUUUAGCCUGUGAAACAGCAUAUGUUUGUUUUGGCUGUCUGAAUGUGGUAUUUUUUGCUCACUGGAAAAGCUGACAGUGUUUCAGUCUCUGCACUGUUUUUUCUUGUUUUGUGUUUAACUUUUCACCUUCCACUUUCUUUCCUAGACUAGCAGAAAUCACCUAAAAAUCGUCAGGAAAAGGUGGUAUAUUCCUGGAGGGAGGUGAGAGGCUGGGGUGUCCAUUGCUUUUUCCUGAGUUUACCCGUAGGUUUAUUCCCAUCAGCCUGUAGAAGUUGGCUAGAUUUUUAUGUUCUUUGGUUUUCUCACUUCCUGUGUUUUGCAGAGCAUAACCCGAGUGCCUCCUGCACUAGACUCCCUUUUAAACUGAAUUUAACAUAGAUAUGGAGUAGACAACAACAUUCUGUUCUAAACAGAAAUCAAGUGAGGUCAAUUAAGCAGUUUAUUGCCACUAUACCUUAUUAAGUCUUUGUUGCAAGCAAGAUAGAGUUUGUGUCCUGCAGAAUGGGUUGGUCUUAUCCACCUAAAACAAUCUCCUGCACUAUGUCAGCAAUGCUGUGGUCAACACAAGUGAAGUUAAAAAAAGCUGAAUACACUGAACUGUGUAAAUAAAGUACCCUUCCAAUUGGGAAUGCAGUCCUCCGUAUGAAGAAGUGUGGCAGAAUCUUAGAUUUCUUAAGGAAUAGAAGAAAGCUGAUUAAAGAAUGGUCUCCAGUCUGAAGUUAUGAACUGAUUUUCUAAAGCAGAGUCCCUGCUUGAGUAACUGAAUGAACUGUCUGGAUUUGGAAAUAAGAGAAAGUGCUGCAUGUAUAAUUUUAAAAUAAACAGAGCCAAAGCCUGGAAGUGUGAAAGCAGCACUGGGAAACAACUUAAACAUCAAAGAAGAAUUUUUUGGAUGUUUAACUGUUUGAAAACUGGACUCACAUAUUUUUAUUUUAGCAGGAAAAAAGCCCUGUUAAGUUAUUUCGUAGACUGCCUUUGAUCAAAGUUUUGAAAUAGUGUCAAAAUCAAUCAUAAGAAAACCUGGGAUUGGGGAAGUAAUGUUUCUUUUUAAAUAAAAAUUUAUCUUUUUGACCUACAGAAGGUUUAUUCCUUUUAGCAUCAUACUUGAGGUUUGUUCACCUUGUUAUUCCAAGAAUGAGAAAGUGCUGAAGCCAGUGUAAAUGAUGUAACAACACAGCCCACAAGAGGCCAGUAUGUAUUUAAGUUUUGAGCUAUUCAAAUCCAUAUUUGUCCAGUGUAAGAGGACCCAGGCAUCUUCCUGGGAAUGCAACAAGCUACACAACUUCAUGUGAGCUGAGGGACACAGAAAGGUCAAUAAUGGUUGUGAAAGCUCCUGUGGUAGGAAUGACCAGGACCUUAUCAGCUGAGAUAAAAAGGUAAUUAAUAUUUACAUAAACAUAUACUGUCAAGAAUGUCAUAAUACUUUGUGUUCUGUGCCUGUGGUCAGGCAGGGUGGAAAUUGGCUGUGUGAGUUCAAUAUCUUUAAGUCCACAUCUGCUUUGUUUUUCUUUUUCUUUUCCUUCCCUUACAAUGAAAGGAACUUUGUAAAGUUUCACUCCAAAGUGUAACCAGGCUUUGCCUUCAAAAAAUCUGUAGCCAAGGAUGAAAAAUUUGAUCAUGCCAUAGAAAUCUAAGUGAAGGGAAUUGCGUUUUUGAGGUGAAAGGAGAACAGUAAAGGUGAUUGGAUAACUUUUAAGCCCUGUCAUUGUAGCUUUUGUAGGAUUUGAAAAUCGAAAUCUGAAGGCAUGCAGAGCAGUGGACCAGUGAGCCAAGCAGCAUCCUCUAUCCCUUCUCAUUUUAUCACUGGGUGCUGCUGCUGUGGAUUUGCCUCACAAUGGCUGAGGGGCAAAACCACAGCAUUCUUUUCAAGGGCCUCUUGGGACAGGGUAAUAUCUCUUAUUUUCCUAGCCAGCCCAAAUCAGUGCUGUCCCCAACACCCAUGGCCAUUGGUAUGUACACGGGAGUGAAGGGAUGAGACAGGGAGGGAAAGAGGAUGGGAACAUCUUCGGGCAGACUAGGCAUAAGGAGACGGAAAAUUUGUGUAUCAUACAGGCAGCCUGGAGGCAAAAGCCAGCUCAGCAUGGAGAUCAGGGUAUAUAUAUUCUGUUAAGGAAAAGGAUCUCUUUGGAGAGAUGCCCAAAACAGUACUUUUGGCAUAUCUGUAAUUCCUGCUGGCAACAAAGCAAACUCUCAAGGUCAUAUGGUCUUAACACUGUCUUUCCUGUGGGCUGUAUCUUCUAGGUGGCCAUGCAUCAUCUUAACUUUAUCAUUUGUGCCCCCAAAUCUUGCAAAGGCUUUUGGGUUGAUUUUCUUCUGCCCUAAGAUCUUUCAGCAGCAUUAAACGACUGUGUCAGAGGCUACAAUUCCUUACUGUGUCUGUCUUGUCACAGAACAAUUUUUAAAACGAGAGAGCUGCAGUUUGUAGAUUACUAAUACUCAUCCCUCAAGGACCACAAUCAAAUAGCCCAGUUUCCCCAAACUGCGUUUCACACAUGGACCAAUCUUGGAUUAUCUUGGCUUCAAGCAGCCUUCUUACUGUCUUGUCACUGCAGUGAUGACAAUGGCACAGCUCCCAGCCACACCCACUGGGAGCAGCUAGGGCACAUGCUCUUGUGUAAUUCACAAAUCCCUUUGUAUGUGAUAUACUUAGGAGAGCUGGGGAGGUCCUUGAUUAGAAAGAAGUGUAAUGAAAUAGUCUAAAUGAAUUAAGAUGGAAUAACUCAAGCUGGUAAUCAAGUUUCUUUUGAUAUUCCUGGUGUAAAAUGGAGACAUUCUGCUGCUAACCACAGAAAAAUAACUCUGUUUUAGAGUGGUGUUCUCAGGGAGCUUUAGAAUUUAGUUUUCAAGGACAGAUCCUUACUGGGCAGUUUUUGGGGGAAAAUCCAAACCAGUUUUACUUGACUUAACAACUAGUUAAUACUAAAAUAAACCAAAUGGCUUCAUUCUGAUAGAAAAAUUUUGCUCUUUAAAGCCCUCUGCAAUUAAGCAUCAAAGCAGAAGGAUUUAUCCUAAAAUUAUGGGCAUUUACCUAGACAUAGGGCAUGAGCAGCACUGAAGAGUGAUAUUCAGUUAGUGCUGAACCAAGUUCUAAUGGGCUUUUUGAUACAUCCAGCUGUGAAGCCUUCUUGAAUGACAUCUGAUAUCGAGCACCUUACAGCACUCCUGCACAGCAAGGCAGCCCCAUUUUCUCAUUGUCUAGGUGACAAGAUAUCUGCAGAAAGAGCAAAUUACUUGCCCAGAAUCCUGCAGAAAAUCAGCAAAGAAGCGAGGAGAUGAUCAGCAGCCUCCUACAGACAACUAGAAUUCUUCCUGCUGCACAAACCUUUCUCUCUCAGGAGUUUUAGGUGAUGAGCAGUUCUCUGUGUAGCUUUGUGGUUUGGGGCUUCUUGUUGUAUCCUUUCUUUGCCAUUCCUGGUAAAUAAAUCCUGAAAACAUUACCUUGCUGUUCACUUAAUUAACAUGCUUUUUCCCCAACCAAAGUGUUUUUCAGGAAGUCUUCUGCCUUGUUGGAAACUUGUAGCAUGCUGAUGUGCUCCUUUGAGAUCCUUGCUGGAGAAAGCCUUCCUGAAUUUGUGGGAAAACCUUGUCCACUGAAAAAACCCAAGGGUGUGCUCCCUAAAUCCUGACAGAACCUCAACCACUAAAAGUGAAAAACAGACAUCAGUGUCAGUGCUUGGGAUCUCCCUGGUAAAGAAAGUGCAAAGCUUCACUUAGAAGUUCAAUGAGAAAGAGUCAAAGUGGGAUGAUAAGUAUGAAUGAUGAUUCAACGGAUGAUGGACUGGCCCACACUGUGAAAAUGAAGGGUGUUCAACCCAGUUACUUAAGAGGCUUGGGUGUUAAGACUGGAGGUCUAGUACAGAACACUCUGCUCUUCACUGAUGUUACCUAUGGGACUUGGACUUGACUGCAGUUUGCUGAAGACCAGCAUCACAACAGGAGGCUGAUUCUCCAAUUAUGGAAGAACCUGUCCUCAAGAUUUUUGCUACACACAGUGUCACUGUGAAGAACCAAGCACACUGCAAGCAUCAAGGUCCCCUUGGCAAAACCAAGGCUCAAAGUCACAUCAAGGACAGUAUGGAGGAGACUGAGAAAGAAGAUGUGGUGUUGGAGAAAGCCAGUCUGGCAUCCUGAAAUGGGACCAAGUUCUGUAUUCACAUUUGCAAGCUGUGGACUCUGCUGCUGUCACACAGCCUUCAGAACUGCUGCAGGUGGUGGAUUUUUCAACUCCAGCUUCAGCUUAGCCUGGCAGCAAACCAGACCAUGGAGAUGCUCUGUAAGGACAUUAAAGACAUGAGUUGAAGACACCAAAAAGCAGAAAAAAAUGCACUAAUAUCCCUAUCUCUAGUACCAUUCACAGACAAAUACUACUUCUGAAUCUAAGCCAAGAGUGAAGCUGGUAUGGGAGAAGCAGCAUCGUUAGAGGAAGGAAUUCUAGCAAUGUUACCUUCAGGUUUGAUCUGACUGUGAGGCUGAAGAGCCACAUGGUGGUUUGUGCUGGGACAGCACCAUGCCUUUCACAUCUUAUCUAAUACUACAUGAACUCAGGCUCCACAGGAACUUGCAAAAUGAGCCCCACCAUAAGAAGGUAUCUCUCAGUUGACAUUGUACAAGUUGAUCUGUAUUGCACCAGCUGUUUUCCCUCAGCUCCCAAGAUGAUCGAACUGUAGCAUGAGGUUAUGUGGAAUCUCCCAGGCCACACCAGCUCAUGCGCUUUGCUGGGGACAAAGCCUGCCAUUUUCUUUGCAGAUUGAAGAAAUCUCCAGCACUGGUGUCCUUGAAACAUUUUUCUAUUGGGCUGAUUCUGAACAAGUAGCUCCUAUAGCCACAGACAUCCUUGUGCUCAAAGGUGAGGAUUGUUUCUGUUGCUGCCCAAGCCAGGAAGCAAAACUUCAUAGUUGCAGUUGUCUUGGCCAAUGCUCCCCACCACCACCACCAGUGGAGGACAAGAACCACUCCCAGUGCUGGUCCACAGCACCAGCUGAUUUGUUUCUGACCUGUUUUCACGUUAUCCUCAAGAGGAGUUGCAGAGAUGUCCAUUACAACAUUAACAUGCAGGCUGCAGGUACAGUAUAGAGAAAACUCCAUCACCUUGGGGUACUGACAAGAGGUACAAAAAAAAAAAA